rnacentral:rRNA from 1 species
UACGUAGGUGGCAAGCGUUGUUCGGAAUCACUGGGCGUAAAGCGUGCGUAGGCUGUUUCGUAAGUCGUGUGUGAAAGGCGCGGGCUCAACCCGCGGACGGCACAUGAUACUGCGAGACUAGAGUAAUGGAGGGGGAACCGGAAUUCUCGGUGUAGCAGUGAAAUGCGUAGAUAUCGAGAGGAACACUCGUGGCGAAGGCGGGUUCCUGGACAUUAACUGACGCUGAGGCACGAAGGCCAGGGGAGCGAAAG